AUUGAACGCUGGCGGCAUGCCUUACACAUGCAAGUCGAACGGCAGCACGGGAGCAAUCCUGGUGGCGAGUGGCGAACGGGUGAGUAAAGUAUCGGAACGUGCCCAGUCGUGGGGGAUAACGUAGCGAAAGUUACGCUAAUACCGCAUACGAUCUAUGGAUGAAAGCGGGGGAUCGCAAGACCUCGCGCGAUUGGAGCGGCCGAGAUCAGAGUAGGUAGUUGGUGGGGUAAAGGCUCACCAAGCCGACGAACUGUAGCUGGUCUGAGAGGACGACCAGACACACUGGGACUGAGACACGGCCAAGACUCCUACGGGAGGCAGCAGUGGGGAAUUUUGGACAAUGGGCGAAAGCCUGAUCCAGCCAUGCCGCGUGCAGGAUGAAGGCCUUCGGGUUGUAAACUGCUUUUGUACGGAACGAAAAGGUUUGGCCUAAUAAGCUGAGCUCAUGACGGUACCGUAAGAAUAAGCACCGGCUAACUACGUGCCAGCAGCCGCGGUAA
rnacentral:rRNA from 1 species